UACCUGGUGGUCCAAUGGUUAGGACUUAGCACCUUCAUUGCUGGGGCCCGGGUUCAAUCCCUGGCCAGGGAA